AACCUGACCCACGCCCCCCCCCCCCCCCCUGAGCCCUGGUGUCCAGGCUGCUCACUGUGACAUCCAGAAGACCUCUGCCCUCGCUGUCCCUCUGCCAGGGUUGCCUGUCCCCGUGUUUCCCUGCAGACCGGCCACAGGGAAGGCCACAUGUGGCGAGCCCCAGCCCCGUGCCUGGCCUGUGUCAGGGCCCAGCUCCCAUGUGCGCCUGGCCCAGCUGCAGGAGGUGCAUGCAAGGUCCCAGGGCCCGCCUGGCUGUGGUUUCCCUCAGUCCUGGUGCUGGCCUUGCUGCAGGCCAAGGACAACAGGAGGCUGUCCCCGCCGUGGGUAAGCCCCUUGGAUGGUAUGGCACAGCUCGAAGGAACACAAGCCCCGUGGCUGCUGGGACCUCUGCCCAGUGGAGCCGCCCUCUGGAGGGGGCUGAUACCCCCAACCAUGCAUGCAUCCCUAUGCAUGAACAGCUUGGGGCCCAGGGGGAUCUUGCUGGCGCAGCCACUGACAGGAAAACCCCAGGAAAGGGGACAUUUAUUUGUCAGGGGAGCCACUUGCAAGCUAACAAGGUGGGGGCCCAGGAGCAACCCCUUUUCGUGGGACAAGGGGCUGAGGAUCUCCGUGUUCACCUGCCCCUUCCCACUUCCCAGCAGUGACAGUCAUCAAUGAUGCUAUUCCGUCUGCUAUGCAAGGGGGAAACUGAGGCACAGAGCCACCGCAUCUGCCCCAGACUCCCCCUGCCACCACACUGGGGUGCAGCCCCCGAGCUCUUUGGUGCCAAGUGCUCUGCCACCGAGCCACACAGCAGCCCGAGCCCCCAGACCCCCAGGACUAACCCGGGGUGCAACAGGACCCUUCUCACUGAGCUACCUUCUCAGCCCUUUUUGACUUUUAUUUUGAGACAGCCUCUCACUAAGUUGGUAAGUCUCCCAGCCCGGGCUGGAAUUUGCUAUCCUCCUGCCUCAGGGUCCCAGAAGGCUGGGAUAACAGGCGUGGGCCACGGCACUGGGCUAUUGUGUGGGCUCACACAAGUGAGGAGGGUGUGGUGGGCCAGCGGGCUGACCCAAAGCAGCCGUCUCCCCAGGGUCGCUUCUGUUGGCUACACCUCAGGUUGCACACGGCAGGCGCUCAGUGCGCGGUGAUGGGGG
rnacentral:lncRNA from 1 species